rnacentral:tRNA from 1 species
GGGCAACUAGCUCAGCUGGUUAGAGCGUCUCCUUUACACGGAGAAGGUCGCUGGUUCGAGCCCAGCGUUGCCCA